UUUUGUAGAUUUCCGAAAUCUGAGAUACAACUCCAAAAAUGGGUAGAUUGGUUCUGAAAGAUUGCGAAGUGUCCUGAACUUAAGAAAGCAGAAAAGGUUUUUCUCAUCGCCACGCGUGAGAUCUUGCCUCCGCGUCGAUGCCUAUCCAACAUUAUUUAGUGCUGAUGAGAUCACUACUGGUAUGCCCCAAGGCUUACACCACGAUGCCGAUGGAACCAAAAAUAUCUCUCAUGAGCACAAUUUUUGCAAGAGGAGGCUGCGGGAAGACCACUCCUACAGCAAAGUUGAAGUUCCAGAGAAACGUACAAGAGUGAUGCACCCAUUUACUCCACCCCUCGACGCCCUAGACGAAGAAGGCCUGUGAUUGUUACGAAAAAAU